CGGGGAGAACGGCCUGGGACGGUGCGGCAAGCCCAGAAUCGAAAGGAUUUCUCUCUGGAUUUCUCUCCGCUCGUGGUUACGCAACCUCCUCUCGGAUGCAGGAAGUUAUUACAAAGCGAUAGAAGGACCACAUCGCCAUCAAGCGGGUAGUUAGGGGAACUACAGGAGUUGUGAUCGCCCUGUUCGCUUUGCUGUUGUUCUACAGUGUAUGGAGUCUACAAACCCUGGUUCAGGAGAGCCUUUGUCCAUCAGGCUUUAUACAGCUUUUCAACGGGAAGUCCAGUGCGUACGGGUCGCCCUGCAGGCCCGGGUGGCCCUGAUGCUCCCG